rnacentral:lncRNA from 1 species
UUUUGUUUGCUUUUGUUUUGUACUAACCCGUUUUGUUUUGAUUAUGAUUGCAUUGCAUUUGCAUCUUAGAAAAGAGAUGUUGAUUCAAGUUCGAUUACUAACUUAGGAAGCUUGUCAUGGAAUAAAGAUUUCUUGAUAAAGUGGAAAAUAAUACGGCUACCUGAAUAUAUUCUGAGAAACACAAGAAGGGCGAUAGAAGAGUUCGUGAAUUUACUCCGUGGCUCGAGGAUUCAAG